GACUCACUCUGUCCACCAUAAUUACAGUGUUUCACACUUUAAUUAUCUUUAAUUUAUCUGUUUAUGGAAUAUGCUGUAAUUUUUCAUAAUAUCACACAUUUGACUUUUUAUGGCAUAAUAACUGACAUGUAUAUAUACAUUUUGUGUUCAAUCUUUUCUACUUAUAUUAUAAACCUGACCUUUUUAGAGAGAGAGAGAGAGAGAGAGAGAGAGAGAGAGAGAGAGAGAGAGAGAGAGAGAGAGAGAGAGAGAGAGAGAGAGAGAGAGAGAGAGAGAGAGAGAGAGAGACUCAUUCACCGCGUCUCUCCCCUCUGAUCGUGAAUACGAGUUUCUAGUUGUUACGUUAAUCUCACCCCACCCUGGAACGCUUAUUUUGUUGCGUCUACAGACUAGACCCCUCGGUCAUCCGUCGACGGACGGAGGUAGUGUGAAUGCGCCCUGGCCUGAAUACGCGCGGACCAUGGACCUCUAAAGACCGUUUGGAAUGCGCCCGGACCGUUUUGAGUACACCAUCCGGGUCCUUUCAGUGCACUGCUUUCCCCCCGAUCGUAAUUGGAACGCCCUAAUCAAACUAAGUAUAUCUGUUUGUGUUGCAAUGGCCAUGAGACAUACCAUUGACCGCCAGCAUCCCAGCUACAAAGAGGGGAAACGUAAAUUGCUUGAAAGUAUACAAGACCACCUUAUAGCUGAAGCUGAGAGAGCCGUUGAGGAGAGGAAACGUGCGCGUUCUGGUGGAGGACCUCCAUGUGGCUCCACUAAUGACGGUGCAAGACGAGGCAAGCCGAGGGGGGAGGCGUGGAGGGCGACGCGGAGGGCGACGCAAAGCCUCAGCCACAGUCACGUUCCCCCCAGCUGAGUGCUCCCCGUCAUCCCAUGAGGACGUUCCGCUUACUGUACCUUCAGCGCAACUGAAUCCUCAAGAGGCAUUUGAAAAGUUUGUGGAGAGGCUUUCAUCUCUAAAUGCCUCUGGUCCUUCUGCCAAGCCUCAAAGAAGCUCUGCAUCUUCAUGGACUUUUCGGCAGCAGAAAGCCUCAGAGCGCUGGACAGAAGCACGACCAAACCACCUACAAGGCCUCAUUGAAAAGGAGGCUGUUGGUCAUCCCUUGUGUUGCCUCUGCCCCAAGCCGGCUGUUAUUAGGUGCAGAGAGUGUCUCCCUGAAGGGUGGUUCUGUGGGGACUGCGAUGUACUGCAUCACAAAAAACAGCCACUCCACAACAGGGAAUGUCUGAUACGUGGGUUCUUUGAACCCAUUCCUCCAACCACACGCGUCAUGAAAGGGGAGGAUGGAUAUUUCACUCAGGAGCAAGCUUGCAUCUUGCCAACUGUGAGUGUGUCAAACUGCGUCUGCGAUGGCACAACCUUCACUGUGUUAGCAGGCAAACCAGUGAUUUUAAUUAACAUCAAUGGACGUUAUGACUUGCAUCAGCCACUGUAUGUAUGUCAGACGUGCCAGCAGCAGAUGACCCCUGACAUGAAGCACUUCCUUCAGAGUGGAUAUUGGCCAGCCUCUCUCAAUACUUCCACGUUGUACACGUUGGACCUCUUGAGCUCCUUUCAGGAACUGAAAGUAAUCUCUCCAGAAGUGAUUCUCCAGACAGGCCUUCGCAAAGCUCCUGGAGCAUCGCACCAAGUGUGGAGGACGAUCUGGACAUAUCAAAGGUGA
ensembl:lncRNA